rnacentral:rRNA from 13 species
CGUCAGCUCGUGUCGUGAGAUGUUCGGUUAAGUCCGGCAACGAGCGCAACCCACAUCCUUAGUUGCCAGCAGGUUAAGCUGGGCACUCUAGGGAAACUGCCCGUGAUAAGCGGGAGGAAGGUGUGGAUGACGUCAAGUCCUCAUGGCCCUUACGGGUUGGGCUACACACGUGCUACAAUGGGUGGUACAAAGGGCAGCGAGACCGCGAGGUUAAGCAAAUC